AUUGAACGCUGGCGGCAUGCCUUACACAUGCAAGUCGAACGGUAACAGGUCUUCGGAUGCUGACGAGUGGCGGACGGGUGCGUAAUACAUCGGAACGUGCCCGAUCGUGGGGGAUAACGAGGCGAAAGCUUUGCUAAUACCGCAUACGAUCUACGGAUGAAAGCGGGGGAUCUUCGGACCUCGCGCGGACGGAGCGGCCGAUGGCAGAUUAGGUAGUUGGUGGGAUAAAAGCUUACCAAGCCGACGAUCUGUAGCUGGUCUGAGAGGAUGAUCAGCCACACUGGAACUGAGACACGGCCCAGACUCCUACGGGAGGCAGCAGUGGGGAAUUUUGGACAAUGGGCGAAAGCCUGAUCCAGCCAUGCCGCGUGCAGGAUGAAGGCCUUUGGGUUGUAAACUGCUUUUGUACGGAACGAAAAGCCUCUUUCUAAUAAAGAGGGGUCAUGACGGUACCGUAAGAAUAAGCACCGGCUAACUACGUG
rnacentral:rRNA from 1 species